UACGUAGGUGGCAAGCGUUGUCCGGAAUUAUUGGGCGUAAAGCGCGCGCAGGCGGUUCCUUAAGUCUGAUGUGAAAGCCCCCGGCUCAACCGGGGAGGGUCAUUGGAAACUGGGGAACUUGAGUGCAGAAGAGAAGAGCGGAAUUCCACGUGUAGCGGUGAAAAGCGUAGAGAUGUGGAGGAACACCAGUGGCGAAGGCGGCUCUUUGGUCUGUAACUGACGCUGAGGCGCGAAAGCGUGGGGAGCAAACAGG
rnacentral:rRNA from 1 species